UACGUAGGGGGCGAGCGUUGUCCGGAGUUACUGGGCGUAAAGCGCUUGUAGGCGGUCCACCAAGUUUGGGGUGACAGUUGCCGACUUAAUCGGCAAAGUGCCUCAAAGACUGGCGGACUUGAGGGCCACAGAGGGACAUGGAACUCCAGGUGUAGUGGUGAAAUGCGUAGAUAUCUGGAAGAACACCAAAGGCGAAGGCAGUGUCCUGGGUGGUCGCUGACGCUGAGAGGCGAAAGCCAGGGGAGCGAACCGG
rnacentral:rRNA from 1 species